rnacentral:rRNA from 1 species
AUUGAACGCUGGCGGCAGGCCUAACACAUGCAAGUCGAGCGGAUGAAGGGAGCUUGCUCCUGGAUUCAGCGGCGGACGGGUGAGUAAUGCCUAGGAAUCUGCCUGGUAGUGGGGGAUAACGUCCGGAAAUGGGCGCUAAUACCGCAUACGUCCUGAGGGAGAAAGUGUGGGAUCUUCGGACCUCACGCUAUCAGAUGAGUCUAGGUCGGAUUAGCUAGUUGGUGGGGUAAAGGCCUACCAAGGCGACUAUCCGUAACUGGUCUGAGAGGAUGAUCAGUCAAACUGGAACUGAGACACGGUCCAGACUCCUACGGGAGGCAGCAGUGGGGAAUAUUGGACAAUGGGCGAAAGCCUGAUCCAGCCAUGCCGCGUGUGUGAAGAAGGUCUUCGGAUUGUAAAGCACUUUAAGUUGGGAGGAAGGACAGUGAGUUAAUACCUUGCUGUUUUGACGUUACCAACAGAAUAAGCACCGGCUAACUUCGUG